rnacentral:lncRNA from 12 species
CCAGUUUGGGAUCAAUGGCUCCAGUUUGGGGACAAUGGCCCCAGUUUGGGAUCGAUGGCUCAAGUUUGGAGUGGGACAGUCCCAGUUUGGGAUCGAUGACUCCAUUAUGGGAUCGAUGGCUCCAGUUUGGGAUCAGUGGCUCCAGUUUGGGAUCUAGUUUGGGGUCGGUGGCUCCAGUUUGGGGUGGGACAGUCCCAGUUUGGGGUCGAUGGCUCCAGUUUGGGGUCGGUGGCUCCAGUUUGGGAUCGGUGGCUCCAGUUUGGGAUUGGUGGCUCCAGUUUGGAAUUGGUGGCUCCAGUUUAGGGUCAAUGACUCCAUUAUGGGAUUGAUGACUCCAGUUUGGGAUGGGACAGUUCCAGUUUGGGGUCGAUGGCUCCGGUUUGGGAUGGGAUGGGACAACUCUGUUUUGGGGUUGGUGGCUUGGCUCCAGUUUGGGAUCGGUGGCUCCAGUUUGGGAUCAAUGGCUCCAGUUUGGGGUCAAUGGCUCCAGUUUGGGAUCGGUGGCUCUGGUUUGGGAUUGGUGGCUUCAGUCUGGGGUGGGACAGUCCCAGUUUGGCGUUGGUGGCUCCAGUUUGGGACCAAUGGCUCCAGUUUGGGGUGGGACAGUCCCAGUUUGGGAUCGGUGGCUCCAGUUUGGGAUCGGUGGCUCCAGUUUGGGAUCGGUGGCUCCAGUUUGGGAUCGGUGGCUCCAGUUUGGGAUCGGUGGCUCCAGUUUGGGAUCGGUGGCUCCAGUUUGGGAUCGGUGGCUCCAGUUUGGGAUCGGUGGCUCCAGUUUGGGAUCGGUGGCUCCAGUUUGGGAUCGGUGGCUCCAGUUUGGGAUCGGUGGCUCCAGUUUGGGAUCGGUGGCUCCAGUUUGGGAUCGGUGGCUCCAGUUUGGGAUCGGUGGCUCCAGUUUGGGAUCGGUGGCUCCAGUUUGGGAUCGGUGGCUCCAGUUUGGGAUCGGUGGCUCCAGUUUGGGAUCGGUGGCUCCAGUUUGGGAUCGGUGGCUCCAGUUUGGGAUCGGUGGCUCCAGUUUGGGAUCGGUGGCUCCAGUUUGGGAUCGGUGGCUCCAGUUUGGGAUCGGUGGCUCCAGUUUGGGAUCGGUGGCUCCAGUUUGGGAUCGGUGGCUCCAGUUUGGGAUCGGUGGCUCCAGUUUGGGAUCGGUGGCUCCAGUUUGGGAUCGGUGGCUCCAGUUUGGGAUCGGUGGCUCCAGUUUGGGAUCGGUGGCUCCAGUUUGGGAUCGGUGGCUCCAGUUUGGGAUCGGUGGCUCCAGUUUGGGAUCGGUGGCUCCAGUUUGGGAUCGGUGGCUCCAGUUUGGGAUCGGUGGCUCCAGUUUGGGAUCGGUGGCUCCAGUUUGGGCCCCCCCCCCCCCCCCCCCCCCCCCCCCCCCCCCCCCCCCCCCCCCCCCCCCC